CCAGAACCGGGGGCUGGGCAGGCGGCCUGGCCACAUGGGGAGGGAAAUCCUUGUAUCCGGGGGUCCAUGGCCAGGUAGGGAGGAAGCAGGGAGUCACAUAGAGGGGUGGAAGUGAGUGUAGGGGGAAGGGGCCCUGGCCACGCAGGAAAGGAGGAGAGGGUCCUUGACAGCAGGGAGUCCUGGCACCUCCAGAGGUGACUGGCAACUGGCAUGCCAGAUUUGAAGUUGGAAAACUGUUAGAUGGCUCAAAAAGUGACUCUCCCGAAGAUGAAGACACGUGUCAAAAUCACAAAGAAAUGAUGGGACCCAAGGCAGAGAAAGCUCUCUUCUCGGUCUAUGAGGUGACAGGAGCCUGACAGUGGAUGCUCCAGGCCAUGUUCACAGCUGCUGUCUAGAAAGGCCAAGAUCCAGCACACACUAUCUUCUAUUGGAAAAGAACUACAGCUUGCAUACCUGUGUAAACUCAGUUAACACCAUAAGUUCUUCUGUGCAGAUUGGCAUUUUUCUUAUGCUGAAUUAAAUAGAUUGUCAUGCUUUUCAUGCAUUUUAAUACAUAUAUUGUCAUACACCUAUUAUAAUGAAACUAGGGAAAAAUAUGGUUCCUUUUCUUUUUCCUUGUAAUGUUAGAAAUUAAAAGAAAA
rnacentral:lncRNA from 1 species